GGCCAUGGAGGGGCUCUGCUUAC
rnacentral:misc_RNA from 1 species